UACAGAGGGGGCAAGCGUUAUUCGGAAUUAUUGGGCGUAAAGGGCGCGUAGGCGGCUUGGCAAGUGGAAGGUGAAAUCCCUCGGCUCAACUGAGGAACUGCCCUCCAAACUGCUUUGCUUGAGGCCGGGAGAGGUAAGUGGAAUUCCCAGUGUAGCGGUGAAAUGCGUAGAUAUUAGGAAGAACACCAGUGGCGAAGGCGGCUUACUGGUCCGGAACUGACGCUGAGGUGCGAAAGCGUGGGGAGCAAACAGGG
rnacentral:rRNA from 1 species